CCCCCCAACGAGGUCAGACCGAGAUAAGGACGCUACUCUUGGACAAAUUACCUGACCGACGACAACGCAUUAUUUCAAGGUAUGUUUGAAGAAAACAAGCUAAACUAAAGAUAAAUGGAGUGCGACAUAUUCUCAAGCAACUGAAAUCUCAGGCGAGGCAGGCUUGACUGAGAAGCGGGGAGCGGAAGAGGGGAGCCACUGGACUGGAACCCACAGCAACUUUGUUUCUAGUUUGCGUUCAAUAGCCUAAUCUGCAUGUGAGAAGUGGGCGGGUUUACUGAUACCCAACACUGAGGGUUACACAAUUGUUACUUUUUCUUGAUAUUUGAAUUUGUUAAUUAAAUUGAUGGCUAUCCAUCGAUUUAGCUGUUACAAACAAAUGUAGAUAUUCAUAUCAUUUUCUUCUGAAGAGCUCGGAAAAAAGAGACUUUCAGAAUUAUUUCCAUAUUCUAUAGUAUAUCAUAAAAAAAUAGAAAGCUGACUGAAAUACAGUCCUGAAUCUUCAAUCAAACUUUAUAAAACAGAAUAUAUAACAGAUGUAAGAGAAAAAGAAAAUAAGCUUUUUGUAUCAACAAUGUGGGAAGGUCCAGAAAAAAAAAAAUAUAUGAUAAUUAGAUACAGGCUAUGGUUAACCCACAGAUAGUAAGAAUACAUGCAAUAUCCACUAUAAUAUAAGUCUAUUAAUUGUAUUUACACAUAUAUGGCUCUAUAAUUGUCUAGUCACCAAGGAGUCAGUUAUUAGUCCUAACUUUCUCACCUGUUUACCUUUUUUCUUGACUUUUGGGAAGUGUCUAUUGUUACCAAGAUUUUAAUAACAAUUUAAUAAUCAUAAUAAUAAUAAGAAUAAUAAUAGUAUUGAUAUCAAUAGUAUUAGAAAGAGAAACACAUUUUCCUAAAAUAUCAAGGGAGGGGGAAAUCAGAAGCAGUUACUAGGCCUAAAGUAGACUCCUUGCUGGCUGAGAACAUGUGGAGCCAUCUGUAUGUAACAGUACAAAAAUCUAUGGUGACUGGGUUAAAGCAGAUAUGUUGAGAAGAUGAGAAAGUGUUCCCAAGAGUGUAUGAUACCAAUAUACAUUCUCAAGAAUAAAAAUUGGAUAAAGGAAUGAAACAGUAACGAUAUUCUUUCAAGGAGGCAGUGCUGAGGUUAUGUCAUUGAUUCACAUAUAACUAUUUGAUCCAAAAGCUUUUCCUUUUGCAAACUUGAACCAAGAAGAAAAGGAAAAUUAUUUUCUUGAGAAUGACAGAAUGAUGUAAAGCACACUGAAAAACCUGAAAAUGAGAAAACCAGAUAGCUUUUACAGAGAAUUUGGAAUUUGAUUUUGUUUCUGUAGCCUAAAAUAAACUUAAUUACAACUU